UACGGGAGGCAGCAGUGGGGAAUAUUGGGCAAUGGGCGAAAGCCUGACCCAGCAACGCCGCGUGAGGGAAGAAGGGUUUCGGCUCGUAAACCUCUGUCCUAAAGGGCGAAAAAGAUGACGGUACUUUAGGAGGAAGCCCCGGCUAACUACGUGCCAGCAGCCGCGGUAAU
rnacentral:rRNA from 1 species